CAUCAUGGAGAACACCUUGAGUGAGUGCUCUAAUUUCAAGGAGCAGAGGGCACAGCAAUAUAAGUCAAGUGGUCUGGUACUCACGCGGAAGCCCAGCUCUCCAGCAUAGCCACUGUGGUCGGCUUCACCUUCCUGACAGGGAAAAAGAAAAACAGGUGAGCUCCUCAGCGGGGACACCCAGCUUCCCUCUCACCCCCACCCCCGGCUAGGAUGUCCCCCGGAAGCAUGGCUGGAAGGGACGCAGAGGAUAUGACUACACCAACACUAGCAGAGGCCACCCACGAGCCACUGCCAGGAACUCAAAAGCAGCAUGCAGCAGGACAGCAAAGGACACUGAGGAUAACACUUACUGUCGACUCCUCAUGCUGGACUUGUCUUUCGGGUUCUUUGUAGCCCAGGGGAGCAUCAAAGUCCACCUGUGUUUCCAGGAUUUUAAAAGUAAAAUAUUGAGACAUGACCA
rnacentral:lncRNA from 10 species